AUUCAACUCCAAAGACCAGGGAAACAAACACACAGGGAAGGUGACAUUUCCAUCAUAAGGAGCAUCCUCUCACAGGGAGAAACCAAACCCAGGAAAUCUGCUGGUUGAUAUGUGCACCCAGAUGAGUGGAGCUAGUAUUGAUAUAUAGAUGUAUUCAUUCCAAGUAUAUUCAAAGGCUUCACAGGGUCUGACCUACCUUGCUCUGCUUUGGAAUUGGCAUCAAUGGCAAAACAACUCCCCAAGGGCCCCCAGAUUUGCAGGGCUCAGAAGAUGACACAACAGCCAGGUCAGGUAAAUCACAACUGACUACAUUCCCAGCCUCAGGGGAUCCACCAGGUACAGCCUUGAGCUUUCUGCAUACCGUUGAAGGUAUACCCUGUCCCUUCAAAAUGCCUCUGGACUCUGGUGUAGGCCCAAGAAUAAGUAUGAGCAUGUGUGUUUUUGUCACCUAUUACAUGGCAGUAAAUGAGAAACCACACAAGACUUUACUUGUCAAACCCCCACAGUGAUUUUUACAGAAAAAUAAUAGAGGCAGGGAAUGUGAGAUGGUCCCCGCCUUCCCUUUCAGCUCUCACACCCUGUGAUUCUACCAUCCUGACAGCAGAAUAAAUACAAACACCACUGGAACAAAUUAACCCACCAGAUGAGACCGAGUUCCUGAGCUGUUCCGCAACUGACAGUGUGGUAUUGCUGACAGCAUUCCUCACACAUUUUCACAGACAGAUGUAAUGCUGAGAAAAUUAAACAACUGGAAUUUGCCUGUUUUGCUGUAUUAAUAACUAUACAGUCAAAUUUCUACAGACUUUAUGGCGCAUAACCAUGGGAUGGAAAUGUACCUUAGCUGUCGGUGCAUCUGCUCAAGACCUCUUUCAAGUUCAGUCUUCGGCUUGCUUCCCUGCUUUUCCCAGAGCACCACAGGAAUGAUUGCUUAAGGGCAAAAACUAACUAGCUGACAUUUAUAUUUUAAAAGCCUUUCAGAGACUGUACUGCACAAGUCUGAAGAGCAGUGGAAAGUUUGAUCUGAGGUUUUACGGAAAGUCUUUAAGGAGAUGCAGGAUCAUGGCUUGAAAGAGGAGUCACAGACACUGUCAGGAGGGUGAGGAGGGAUUGCAAAAACUGUGAAGAUUGUGAGGAGCAGCAAGCAAGGAGAUGCCCGCAGAACUGUAGUAGCUUGUCUAAAGAGAUGAGAAAAAAACAAGCUGACGUGUGCAGAGGGCUUCAGGUGAUGGUUUGAUUAUUGUUGGUG